AGUGAACGCUGGCGGUAGGCCUAACACAUGCAAGUCGAACGGCAGCACAGUAAGAGCUUGCUCCUACGGGUGGCGAGUGGCGGACGGGUGAGGAAUACAUCGGAAUCUACUUUUUCGUGGGGGACAACGUAGGGAAACUUACGCUAAUACCGCAUACGACCUACGGGUGAAAGCAGGAGAUCUUCGGACCUUGCGUGAUUGAAUGAGCCGAUGCCGGAUUAGCUAGUUGGCGUGGUAAAGGCACACCAAGGCGACGAUCCGUAGCUGGUCUGAGAGGAUGAUCGGCCACACUGGAACUGAGACACGGUCCAGACUCCUACGGGAGGCAGCAGUAGGGAAUAUUGGACAAUGGGCGCAAGCCUGAUGCAGCCAUGCCGCGUGGGUGAAGAAGGUCUUCGGGUUGUAAAGCCCUUUUGUUGGGGAAGAACAGCAGUAGAUGAAUCCCUCGCUGUUCUGACGGUACCCAAAGAGUAAGCACCGGCUAACUUCGUG
rnacentral:rRNA from 1 species